rnacentral:tRNA from 1 species
AGGUGAGUAGCUCAAUUGGCUAGAGCAUCGGACUCCAAAUCCGGGGGUUGCGGGUUCAAGUCCUGCCUCACCUGCCA